AGCUGCACGGCAUGGGAAAUGGGCUCUUAACACGCAGAAAACAAAUCACUCUCUGCAGACAGCUGUUCCCUGAGGCACAGAGCCUGGCGGGGUUAGGAAGUCUUUUCCGGAGCCCUAGAAGUCUGUGAGCACUUCGGGCCCUGGGUGGCUUUGGCACAGGAGCUGCGGCUUUCUGGGGGGCAGCUGGACCCCUUGAUUCAGGUGGAGCUGGAAGGAGUAUGCUUCUGAAAGUCAAUCCCGGGCAAAAGCAACGCAGAGCAAUACCCCCUCCAUCCUGAUAUUAGCGCGUUUGUUUUUCUAGGGGAUUCCCUUUCGUCUGUGAUCUGAGGAUCUCCAAGCUUUUGACACACACGAGGCUUCACAAUGUGCUUGGCAGGUGCAGAGAGGAAUAUCACCAUAGCCAUCGCGUCAGUCCACACCACUCUACCCUCAUGGACACAGGAUCCACCCCACGGUCCUGUCCAGCCUUCCCAGCCAGAACACGCUUCCCCCUGCCUGCCUUCGCCCUGGGUGGUGGGAGCGGAGAGAAGCCAGGCAGACCUUGGCUGCGUGUUCCUCCUGGAUCCAUUCACGUCCCAAAGCUCUUCAGGAGGAUCAUAACACGGUGUACAUCGAUGUCAUGCCUUCCAUCCCAUGGGAUUCCCAAGACGGGCUGCAAUAGGUUAUAAGUCACGAUGGCGUUGAGCUUUCUCUGUGUACAUCAAUAUAUAGGUAUAAAUAGUUAGACAGAUAUAUCAGCUUCUU